rnacentral:rRNA from 1 species
GUCUACGGCCAUGCCACUCUGAACAAGCCCUAUCUCAUCUGAUCUUGGAAGCUAAGCAGAGUAGAGCCUAGUUAGUACUUGGAUGGGAGACCAUCUAGGAAGACCAGGUGCUGUAGGCG